AGAAUCGGGGAUGGCUGGAGCGCACUUUGUGGCGCCCCGGUUGAUCCCAACCUGGAAGGCUUAAGCUGCUCGCGACGACAGUUAGGUAUGGUGAUCAGGCCACAGCACAAUGCAACACUGACAAGACUUGCAUUGCCCGACACAUGGCUUGAGCUAGUUUCAGCCAUUUGUCAGGUGUGAACUGGGCUAUACAUCGUGCAGUUCAGCAUGAUGCAGUCAUGCAGCUGCUGGAGAUAGAUCCAAGAGUAGGCAUUGUGCUUGUGCCAGUGCAUCCGUUGUACUACCAAGU
rnacentral:lncRNA from 1 species